GAUGAACGCUGGCGGCGUGCCUAACACAUGCAAGUCGAGCGGACGGACGAGAAGCUUGUUGCUUUGAUGUUAGCGGCGGGCGGGUGUGUAACACGUGGAUCACCUACUUAUCUUACUGGGAUAACCUCGGAAAACCGGAGCUAAUACCGGAGAAUAUUUUGCACCGCAUGGUUCGAAGGUGAAAGACGGUCUUGCUGGCUGGUAUAGAUGGUUCCGAGCUGCAUUGGCUAGUUGGUACGGUAACGGCUUACCAAGGCAACGAUGCAUAGCCGACCUGAGAGGGUGAUCGGCCACACGGGAACUGAGACACGGUCCAGACUCCUACGGGAGGCCGCAGUAGGGAACCGGCCGCAAUGGGCGAAAGCAUGACGGAGCAACGCCGCGUGAGUGAUGAAGGUCUUCGGAGCGGAAAGCUCUGUUAUUAGGGAAGAACAGAUGUGUAAGUAGCCGUGGACAGCUUGACGGUACCUAAUCAGAAAGCAACGGCUAACUACGUG
rnacentral:rRNA from 1 species